UACGGAGGGUGCGAGCGUUGUCCGGAAUUAUUGGGCGUAAAGAGCUCGUAGGCGGUGUGUCACGUCGGCCGUGAAAACCUGCAGCUUAACUGUGGGCGUGCGGUCGAUACGGGCAUCACUGGAGUUCGGCAGGGGAGACUGGAAUUCCUGGUGUAGCGGUGAAAUGCGCAGAUAUCAGGAGGAACACCGGUGGCGAAGGCGGGUCUCUGGGCAUUAACUGACGCUGAGGAGCGAAAGCAUGGGGAGCGAACAGG
rnacentral:rRNA from 1 species